rnacentral:rRNA from 1 species
AUGAAUACAGUCGGAGCCUGGGAUUUUUAUACACAGAGAUGGGGCAUAAAUAAGCAAAACAAAAAAUGCGCCAAUGCUUUGCCAGAAUUUCGUUGGUCCUCUCAAGAUUGUGGCGAAACCAAGAUUGAAUUUAGAGAUGUUUCAUAUGCUUGGCCGUUGACACACCUCUCUUCAAGGCAAGGUCAUUUCCAAGGGGUGAUGCUGUCACUUCCAUGGUCCACCAGAAUGAAGAUCACACUCAGUGCUGCAAGGGGGCUUGCCUUCCUGCACGAAGCUGAGAAGCCAGUUGUCUACAUGGAUUCAAGACAUCCAACUUGCUCGAUGAGAGAAAACAACAGGAAUGAGAUUAAUAGAUUUAAUGAAGAGAUAUGCCAGGAUUAG